rnacentral:lncRNA from 1 species
GCUUCCGGGCCUCAACGACCCCCGGGUUGUCCGACCCGCCUGCCGAGUGUCCGUCGGUCUGUCUCUCUGAGGUCCGCAGUUGAGUGCGGGCUCUUCCUUCCCGCAGCCUGUCCUGUCACCGCGGCGGGUGGCGGGAAGCAGGUCUGGCACAUGGUGUUCACUCAGCCGCUUUCCCCAUUUAAGAAGUCCUAUCGAGUGUGGGAGGAGCCCAGAGGGGUCCCAGCAGCUGCUGCAGCCAGAACAUACUGGCCAGGAACAGCCACAGCCUCUCAUCAGUGGAAUCCUGGCUCUCUGAUGGGGAGUUGAGAAGGCAGAGCAGCUUCCUUGUCUUUCUUUUUCCGAUGGGAAGGAAGGCUGCUGCCCAGUGUUUGGAGAAGAGAUGGCAAAAGAUUCUAAAGAGGGGGCUGGAGAGAUGGCGCAGCAGUUAAGAGCACUGACUGCUCUUCAGUGGUCCUGAGUUCAACUCCCAGCAACCACAUGGUGGCUCCCAACCAUCUGUAAUGGGAUCUGGUGUUCCCUUCUGGCCUGCAGGCAUGCAUACAGG